GGGCCGUUAGCUCAGUUGGUAGAGCAGCGGACUUUUAAUCCGUUGGUCGAGCGUUCGAGUCGCUCACGGCCCACCA
rnacentral:tRNA from 1 species